UUAUGUGUGCUCUGGAUUUUAUUUCGUUUGAAUUAGGGCUUUUAUUGUUUGUGUGUCUGUGAAAUUCUGGAAAGCAGCUCCUAUCAGUGCAGUGCAGAACCUCCGGCCCAUCUCUCCGACCUUUUAGCGAGUUUCCCACACUUGAUACUUUGUGUAAAUAGCACUUCUCUGCGGGAAGUCAUCAUUAGCCAACAAUGACAUUGCCGCUUUCCCAUUUAUUAGCCUGUAGCUCACCUGGUUCCCGAUCUUCGUCUUGAUGUUGGGAUUCAUGUAAAUGUCCACCGGCUCCAAUCCUACUUCAAACCUUCCUUUUCCUUCUCUUUUCACACUUUCCUUAACAAGUGUCUAUUAACUCUUCCUAGGCGAUUUCUCUACUGCCUUACUUUGUAGCUCCGACUUAACUAGGGAGUUAGCUUCACCAUCAAUGUCCACUAUCUGAUGCUUAUAGAUCUGGCUAUCCUGGUAUAAGUGAAAUACUCCAGAGAAUUGGUGGAACUGUACACUACAGAAUUUGAUUGAUUCUCAAAGUCCAUGUUUGGAGAUUGAUUCAGCCGAGGUUGACUGGAAUGGGAAGACUCUUAUUGGUGAAUUCUUAUUUUAGUUUCAGCUUAUUCAAGAGCAAGUCGAGAAUCUCAAGAGGAUGGAAGUGCUGAUGGAGAACGUGAAUCAAGAAAUGUACCUCUGGGAAUCUGCAUACGUGAGAGAUAUACCAACAGUCAUGGUGAGGUGACCUAACUUGUCCCUUUAAGAAUAACCAGUUUUAGUUGUGCACUGCAACUGCAAGAGAUCAAUCACGAGAUCGUUGUUCUGGCGACUUAAUUGCAUAUAUGGUAUUUAUUCAUAAGUGUACAAUUCCCAUAAUCUAUGAACGAGGACUUUGGGAUCCAUCAUGAUUGGUGUGAAUCGUUCAGCAUGCCUAUGAUCUCCUACCUGCUGAUCAUCUUUUCUCAAGACUCGAAGUGGCUCGGAAAAAUUACAUUGGAAACUUACAUCUAGUUUCAUAUAUGGCUGAGUUACCAAUUAUAAUAUGAAUUCUUUUCAAAGAUGGAAAAUGAUUUGCAAUGAUGCAAGAGAUGGUGAAGCAACUCAUGAUGUCCUCAAGUCAAGUCACACUAUUGAUGGUUCUGCUGGGAUAUAAUUAGCCUAUGUAUUAGUACAAAUUAGCUAAAAACUUGAUAUGAUGUAUUCCUUUUGAACUUCAUACUUUUGCUAAUUGUUUUAACAACCAACUUUUAUUGCAAUUUGUCAAAAUAUUUAAGGUUAAUGUUACUUUUGUAGAUUUUAUGUUUAUUA